rnacentral:piRNA from 1 species
UAUAAAUCCCUGCCUGGUGCUCCAUC